GAACCUCUGAGCUGAGUCUCAAAGCAAAGUUACUGAAGGGAGGCAAUGGGGGAGGAAGAAGAGGAGGACUUGAGGAAGACACAGUCUAAGCAGAGGCAGUGACACAUAUUAAUAUAAAGAUAUUUGCAUAUGAGAGACAAUGGCUUAUGUGGGGACUUGUAAAUUAUGGACACAGAAAAAGAAUAAUCCUUUCCAUGGUAUCCAUCUAUCAUAGAGGGCUUAUGCUGUGUGUGCCUCACCUCCUGUCAUUAGACUACUCGCUCCCAGGGGACAGAGGUCCUGCUUCUCAGAUCUUCACAUCCCACAGAGCACUUCACAGCAUGAAUACAAAAUCAAAUGAGAGGCAAGACGCAAGCUGUCAUCUGACCUUUUGACAUACUACACACCGGUCAGUAAUGAAGAGACGCUUUUAGCUCUGCAAGAAGAAUAUUCAACAGUGAGGGAUCAUGAUGUAGCUGACAUGGUAAUAUGAUCAACACAACCUCAAGAAAAUUGACUCUGAUUAAACCAGGGUUAAAGGGUUAAACUCUGAUUAAACCAGGGUCCUAUUUUCUCAAGGAUGUCAAAGAUUCUAGGUAAGGGGCCCUUCCUAAUUUUGUGCAGGAGCAGGUCAUAAAUUCUCUUGACAAGAGUACAACCAUCUCAACACUCCAGGCUCCUGUUAUCAAUCACCUCCCCUUCAACUCAAAUGCC